GACAUCGCUGUUAAGAACAACCAACCAAAACCUAAUGAGAAUUUGCGCAAUCAUCAGCAUGUAGUGUGUGUUGUGUUAUAUAUAAAUGUUCUGUUAUCUGGGUGUCCGUGUUUGGUUUUUGCUGCUGACAGCUAGUAUUCAAUUACAGUUGGUGCAUGUAGUAAUUUUCAGACAACCUUUGUUUUUUGUUUGUUUUCUUUUUACGAGAGAAUCGAUCAAGAAACAUAUAGAAUCGAUGGAAGUAGACAAGAUUGAAGGAGACAAUGGAGUCAAGUACGGAGAAAGAUUCAAUUUGAGGAAGAAGAAACAUGUCAGGUCACUGAUACGAUUCAACAACCUUCAUUGCUCUGUAACGAUGACUCAAAUGGUGUGGAAGACCUUUGGUUGAAUAUUGUCUCCGACUUAAUUUUGUUCUGCUUCAGAAAUGUUGCAGCAGUGCAGAGGAUCAUCAGGGUGACCGGGGGAUUCAAAGCGAUGCUGAGUUUGUUCAGAAUUUGACUUUGUAUCACCCCAACUUGUACUGCAUACCAGGAUCAACCAGAGAGGACUCCCCAGUUGAGAACUGUUAAUUCUUAGGCUGAUGUAGAUGAUUAUACUGCAACUGAUUGUGAAAGGGACUCGGGUUAAAAAAAGCAAUUGUGAAGGACAAAAGUAAUCCUUUAUGCUUUUGGAGCUUAUAUUGAGACCCGAAUUUGCUUUAAAAAGGAAAUGGAGGUUAGAUAAUCUGUUGGCAUAUGCGCAGUCUCAAAGGUAAGUUUGUUUACCACCCUCGGUAAUGUGAUGAUGUAAAACAGAGUUGGUUUUACUAUAUAGUUAAGGUUUUGUAUUAACCUAUGAUGUUGUUAAACUAAGUGUGAAUGAUUAAGUUGUAAGAUUAAA